rnacentral:rRNA from 1 species
UACAGAGGGUGCAAGCGUUAAUCGGAAUUACUGGGCGUAAAGGGUGCGUAGGUGGUUGAAUAAGUUAAGUGUGAAAGUCCUGGGCUCAACCUGGGGAUUGCAUUUGAUACUGUUUAGCUAGAGUACUGUAGAGGAAGGUGGAAUUUCCAGUGUAGCGGUGAAAUGCGUAGAUAUUGGAAGGAACAUCAGUGGCGAAGGCGACUUUCUGGACAGAUACUGACACUGAGGCACGAAAGCAUGGGGAGCAAACAGG